rnacentral:lncRNA from 1 species
UCGGUCCCUCGUGAUUCGACUUCUCUUUCUGUAGCUUAGUAUAGUAAGGUGAGCGCUGAAGCGCUGCACGAAUCUUUCUUAGAAAGAUUCAGCGACGAAGUUCUGCCCCUGCAGAGCCCGACUCCUAGCUAAAACCCCCUUGUAAGUAAGUUAUGCUUACCUUAUUUUAAUAUAGCUUAUAUUUAAAAUUAGUAUUGUUAUUAUGAACUUAUAAUAAAUAUUUGAGCUAUUAUUAUAACUUAUAUAAGUGUCGUUAUAAUAUUUUUUUUAACUACUCGCGGUACGGGGAAUCUGGUUUAAAGGGCCGCAUAGGGUUGUUGGAUUUCAGAAGUGCUAUAUGCCAAAAUGGUCCUGCCCUCCGGUGUUUUAUGUCUGGCCCCUGUCUGUACAUAGUGGUUGGAAAAUAUUGUUUAACGCUUAUAUAAUAAUAAUAAUACUAAGACUAAUAGUUGGUCACGGUAAAUAUUAGACUAAAAUUUAGCGAUAAUAAUGCUAGGUUUCGUCGAAGGAAAAUAGAAUCGUUAGAAGCAAGCGCUGCCCGAUUUUGGAAUCAUCACCUUAACAAGUGAGUGCAUAGUUACUUUCAGCUUACACAUAGAUAUGAAGUAUUUUAUAUAAAUUACGUGCUAUGUGUGCAUAUUAUCUGAAUACUUGCUAUCUAUGCUAGAUGAACAUUGUUAUACAUGUUUUCAAUGAUUUAAACUGUAUAUGUAUUUUAUAUCUACGAAAAUGUUGGGGUAAAACAUGGGUAGAUGUAAUAGCUGAUGUGUGAUAAAAUGAUGAGAGGCCUCGAUGUUGAUGUUGUUGUUUCUGUCAUCUAGCGGAGUAUGGAUGACGACCACAGACUCUUCUAGACAGUCCAGUGGAACGCUAGCAGGCUCGCAACCUGUAGGUGUUUGUGAACGACGUGUUCACCGGUGUACUCCAUCCCCCACAUGGUUGCCUUUAGGACAUUUAUUGCUGAGGAAUCCCCUUAGCAGUAGUGUCCGUCCCGAUGAUGAUCCUUAGGCUAGGUCCCUUAUGAUAGGUGUUUAGGGACGUAAAGUGAGGAUAACGGGAACGGGUAAUCGGGUUAUUGUUGAUUGAAUUAAUAAACUUAUUUAAUGUGGGUUGAAAACCCUAUGUGCUCACCAGGCUCCCAAGCCUGACCCACUCAGUUUUAUGUAUUACAGGUAGUGGCGCAUGAGCAUAGGUGUGAUGUUUUGGACGAGGGAUUACAUAUAUAGACCUGUAGAUAUGAAAUAAUGUAGUAAGGCUUAUAUUGUACUGUUUAUGCUUUUGAUCUGUACGAACAUGACAUCCCGAGUCUUUUAAUGAAAUACAUUUCUAUGGAAAUGCUUUUGAUAAAUCUUUAUCAUAUUUUUGUUUUGGGACAAAUUCCGCAACACUUUCAUUUAAAAUGUAACUCUGAUUUUUAAACAAAGCAUAAACAAACCGGUCUUUUGUGGCCGUGAUUUUGGGGAUGUGACA